rnacentral:rRNA from 1 species
ACGAACGCUGGCGGCAGGCCUAACACAUGCAAGUCGAACGGGGUCCUUCGGGACUCAGUGGCGCACGGGUGAGUAACGCGUGGGAACUUGCCCAACGGUGGGGAAUAGCCACGGGAAACUGUGGGUAAUACCGCAUACGCCCCGCGGGGGAAAGACUUCGGUCGCCGUUGGAGGGGCCCGCGUCCGAUUAGCUAGUUGGUGGGGUAAUGGCCUACCAAGGCGACGAUCGGUAGCUGGUCUGAGAGGACGAUCAGCCACACUGGGACUGAGACACGGCCCAGACUCCUACGGGAGGCAGCAGUGGGGAAUAUUGGACAAUGGGGGAAACCCUGAUCCAGCCAUGCCGCGUGGGUGAUGAAGGCCUUCGGGUUGUAAAGCCCUUUCGGCGGGGACGAUGAUGACGGUACCCGCAAAAGAAGCCCCGGCUAACUCCGU